ensembl:Mt_tRNA
CAAGAAGUAGUUUAAUAAGAAUUUCAGCUUUGGGUGCUGACGGUGGGGGUUAAGCCUUCCUUCUUGA